CCUACGGGAGGCAGCAGUGGGGAAUAUUGGACAAUGGGGGGAACCCUGAUCCAGCCAUGCCGCGUGUGUGAAGAAGGCCCUCGGGUUGUAAAGCACUUUCAGUGAGGAAGAACGCCUGGUGGUUAAUACCCAUCAGGAAAGACAUCACUCACAGAAGAAGCACCGGCUAACGCCGUGCCAGCAGCCGCGGUAAUACGGAGGGUGCGAGCGUUAAUCGGAAUUACUGGGCGUAAAGCGCGCGUAGGUGGCUUGAUAAGCCGGUUGUGAAAGCCCCGGGCUCAACCUGGGAACGGCAUCCGGAACUGUCAAGCUAGAGUGCAGGAGAGGAAGGUAGAAUUCCCGGUGUAGCGAUGAAAUGCGUAGAGAUCGGGAGGAAUACCAGUGGCGAAGGCGGCCUUCUGGACUGACACUGACACUGAGGUGCGAAAGCGUGGGUAGCAAAAAGGAUUAGAUACCCCAGUAGUC
rnacentral:rRNA from 1 species